UGGGGAUUCAGCAGCCUCCCCGCUUCAAGACGCCUUGCGUCCAAGGACUGC
rfam:Ricinus communis cultivar Hale ctg_1100012286532, whole genome shotgun sequence.